ensembl:lncRNA
GGAAGAGAAAAAGGAUUGAAAGGGGUUGUAACUCACAGUUGCUGAAUCAGGCGGAGACUGACGUCGGCAGAGUUUCGGAGCUCCUGACACGAGGAUACUGAUGUCUGAGCGGCGAACAGGUAGGAAAACUCAUCUUCAUCCUUAUACACAGUCAGUCCUCUUGAGAGAAUCAACAAGGAGGUGUUGGUGGAGACCAUCAAAGAGCAUUCGAUGAUUUCCCAACAGGUUAUUCAUGAUCACGAUGGUUGAAGGGCU